GGCGAGACCGCGGACGGCUCAUUAAAUCAGUCGUGGUCCAAAUGGGCCUGUGUUAUCUUACUUGGAUAACUGUGGUAAUUCCAGAGCUAAUACAUGCAACCUAUCCCUGACGUUGAUGCCGUUGCUCGGCUUGCCCUUGCUUCGGUUUUCUCCUGACGGGUGCUUUUAUUAGACCAAACCGCUGGGGGUGAGGGCGUUUCAGCUUCGGUUGUUGCGUCUUUUGCCUGACUCGUAUUAUGGUGACUCUGAAUAACCACUUUGACGAGCGCACGUACUCCUCUCUGAGCGAGACGGCGCCGCCUCUUUCGAGUGUCUGCCUUAUCAGCUAUCAACCGUUCGCUACACGCGACCGAUGGCGUUGACGGGUAACGGGGAAUCAGGGUUCGAUUCCGGAGAGGCAGCCUGAGAGACGGCUACCACGUCCAAGGACGGCAGCAGGCACGCAAAUUACCCAAUCCCAGCACAUGGGGGAGGUAGUGACGAAAUCUAACGAUGCGGGCGCCCUUUCUGGGGCCCCGCAAUCGGAAUGAGCACUUUCUAAAAUACCUGUUGAGAACCUACUGAAGGGCAAGUCUGGUGCCAGCAGCCGCGGUAAUUCCAGCUUCAGCAGCAUCUAUUAAAGUUGCUGCGGUUAAAAGGCUCGCAGUUGAAUGUCAGUGCCGAGCGCAGGAUAGGUGGACGUUGGGGCGUGGGAAUUCGCCGGGAGGAGUUGUGGCCACCUUGCUACGCUUCUUUCGGUUCUCACAAGCUCCCGUCCGUGACAAGCCUCCUCGCUUGCGUACAUACUGAAAUCCGUAACGGUGGUGUGUUGGUAUAGGUGCUUGGGCUUCGGUUCUUGUGCUUGCCUCGCGUCACCAAUGGUUUCAUUGUCACCUUGAGUAAAUCAGAGUGCUCAAAGCAGUCGUAAAGGGCUUCGGUCCUGUGAACAGUCUUGACGGACUGACUUGGUUUUGCAUGGCAUGUCGAAAGACGACGUCGAGCGCUGGCUCAGAGAAUCAAUCAGUGGUGUAAGCCAGCCUCGACGUACUGAUUAAAAGGGACGGUCGAGGGCAUUGGUAUUGCGGGGCGAGAGGUGAAAUUCUAUGACCCCCGCAAGACCUCCUGAAGCGAAAGCGUCUGCCAAGGACGUUUUCAUUAAUCAUGAACGAAAGUUAGAGGAUCGAAGGCGAUCAGAUACCGCCCUAGUUCUAACCCUAAACGAUGCCAACCAUCAAUCCGCGCGUAGCACCCUUUUUGACGGGCUCGGCGGGCAGCUCCCAUUUCACGGGAAACCAGAGUCUCUGGGUUCCGGGGGGAGUCUGGUUGCAAAGCUGAAACUUAAAGGAAUUGACGGAAAGCACCACCAGGCGUGGACCUGCGGCUUAAUUUGACUCAACACGGGCCAUCUCACCAGGCCAGCACUCUAGCAUGAUUGACAGAUUGAGAGCUCUUUCUCGAUUCAGUGGAUGGUGGUGCAUGGCCGUUCUUAGUUGGUGGAGUGAUCUGUCUGGUUAAUUCCGAUAACGAACGAGACUCUCCCCUGCUAACUAGUCGGUUGGAUCUUGCUCGGUGAGUCGUGCCCCGGGUGUCUGUUCCAUUGGUGGCGUGCUCCCUUGGUCGUACUUCGGUGCUUCUGGGUGGUUGUGUGUCCCUUUGGACGGCCCUGGAUCGUACACUCCAAGUCCGCCGCUUAAGCUUAAAUUCUUCUUAGAGGGAUCCACGGUUCUGAAGCCGUCAGAGACUGAGAGCAAUAACAGGUCUGUGAUGCCCUUAGAUGCUCUGGGCCGCACGCGCGCUACAAUGCCGGGUUCAGCAGGUUUUUCCCCUGCUCCGUCAGGAGCGGGUAACCCUCUGAAAGCCCUUGAUUACUCCCUAUCCUAGAUAGGCUGGCGUGCUUGGGCCUGGGGCUUGCAAUUCUUUCCCACAAACGAGGAAUGCCUAGUAGCGGCAGAUCACUGAGUCUGCCGUGACUCAGUCCCUGCCCUUUGUACACACCGCCCGUCGCUACUACCGAUUGGGUGUACGAGUGAGAGCCUUGGACUGGCGUCCGUUGCUUUCGAGCAUACGGUUCCGACGGAAAGAGGUCCGAACUCGUGCACUUAGAGGAAGUAAAAGUCGUAACAAGGUUUCCGUAGGUGAACCUGCGGAAGG
rnacentral:rRNA from 1 species